rnacentral:rRNA from 1 species
AUUGAACGCUGGCGGCAGGCCUAACACAUGCAAGUCGAGCGGAUGAAGGGAGCUUGCUCCUGGAUUCAGCGGCGGACGGGUGAGUAAUGCCUAGGAAUCUGCCUGGUAGUGGGGGAUAACGUCCGGAAACGGGCGCUAAUACCGCAUACGUCCUGAGGGAGAAAGUGGGGGAUCUUCGGACCUCACGCUAUCAGAUGAGCCUAGGUCGGAUUAGCUAGUUGGUGGGGUAAAGGCCUACCAAGGCGACGAUCCGUAACUGGUCUGAGAGGAUGAUCAGUCACACUGGAACUGAGACACGGCCCAGACUCCUACGGGAGGCAGCAGUGGGGAGUAUUGGACAAUGGGCGAAAGCCUGAUCCAGCCAUGCCGCGUGUGUGAAGAAGGUCUUCGGAUUGUAAAGCACUUUAAGUUGGGAGGAAGGGCAGUAAGUUAAUACCUUGCUGUUUUGACGUUACCAACAGAAUAAGCACCGGCUAACUUUGUG